rnacentral:rRNA from 1 species
AUUGAACGCUGGCGGCAGGCCUAACACAUGCAAGUCGAGCGGAUGAAGGGAGCUUGCUCCUGGAUUCAGCGGCGGACGGGUGAGUAAUGCCUAGGAAUCUGCCUGGUAGUGGGGGAUAACGUCAGGUAACGGGAGCUAAUAUCGCAUCCGUUCUGAGGGAGAAAGAGGGGGAUCUUCGGACAUCACGCUAUCAGAUGAGCCUAGGUAGGAUUAGCUAGUUGGUGGGGUAAAGGCCUACCAAGGCGACGAUCAGUAACUGGUCAGAGAGGAUGAUCAGUCACACUGGAACGGAGACACGGUCCAGACUCCUACGGGGGGCAGAGGAGGGGAAUAUUGGACAUUGAGCGAAGGCCUGAUCCAGCCAUGCCGCGUAGGUGAGGAAGUUCUUCGGUUGGUAAAGCACUUUAAGUGGGGAGGAAGGGCAGUAAGUUAAUACCUUGCUGUUUUGACGUUACCAACAGAAUAAGCACCGGCUAACUUCGUG